AGGGAUCAAGAAUGUAAUCUUACAAAUGCUCAAGCUGAGAGCGGAAUACGAAACAACAAUUUAAGAAGAACUAAAAAAAAAAAAAAAAUACCAUCCGAGGCAUAACGUUUCAAACUCUAGCAGAAUAAGACACCAAACUGAGCCAAUUCAAAUCCCAAGACAUCUUCAAAUUGAAAAUAUUUUUAAAAUAUCACAAACCCAACAGUUAAAAAUGCAAAACAAAGAAAAUUUAAGCUCUAAUAAACCAUCCCAGAUCCAGAAUUUGUUCAAAAAUGUAUAAAGAACUCACCUGUGUGAAUAAGGUAAACAAACGACGGAGAGGAUGUGAGCAUGUGAACAAUACUCAGCAGAAGAUGGAGACUUGGGUGUGUGGAACUGUUCCUCCCACGGAGAGAGGUUUCAAGUGGGGCACUUCGGUCCCCUCGGUUUGCCAAAUUCUCCACACCCACUUGAGUUUUCUUCGUCUAUUAACUGUUCGUGCCUUCGCUGAUGUUUUGAUUGGUCAUCUUGGCUUUACGUUGUUUUAUUGCCUUUUUUGAAAUCAAAUAUUUUAUUUGCUAGAACUCCAUGAGUUCCAUUUUCGUACACAUUAGCCCCCAAAAUUUAGAGUUUAUGACUUUUGAUACCAUUUUGACUUGACAUUAUUGAUUUGUCUUGAGCUAUUUAAAAUAACCCCCUAAGGAUGGUCAAGAAAAUAAAUGCUAACUUUUUUUUAGGUCAGUAAGUAAAAAUAAAGAAUAAUGAUAUUUAUUAGCACAAAUAUCACUCAUCCAUGAGGCAAAUAAUGUGUUAUGAAAAUUUAUUAUAAUUAUACUUAGUCCUUGUUUCAGCUCCAUUUUUGUCCAAAAAAUAAAUGAAUUUUUGAACAGUGUAUUGAUAGAAAAUGUGUGGUUAAAAAAUAAAGAAAAAUUUUAUACAAGAAUUAAAACCCCAAAACAAGCGUUCUUCAUAAAACUGUAACUGAAAUUUAACAAGACAUCAACAGAAGACACAAAAUAUCACGAGCAAAAAAACCCUAGAAUACCAUACCUACAGGGAUCAAGAAUUUAAUCUUACAAAUGCUCAAGCUGAGAGCGGAAUACGAAACGACAAUUUAAGAAGAACUAAAAAAAAAAACAAAAAAAUACCAUCCGAGGCAUAACGUUUCAAACUCUAGCAGAAUAAGACACCAAACUGAGCCAAUUCAAAUCCCAAGACAUCUUCAAAUUGAAAAUAUUUUUAAAAUAUCACAAACCCAACAGUUAAAAAUGCAAAACAAAGAAAAUUUAAGCUCUAAUAAACCAUCCCAGAUCCAGAAUUUGUUCAAAAAUGUAUAAAGAACUCACCUGUGUGAAUAAGGUAAACAAACGACGGAGAGGAUGUGAGCAUGUGAACAAUACUCAGCAGAAGAUGGAGACUUGGGUGUGUGGAACUGUUCCUCCCACGGAGAGAGGUUUCAAGUGGGGCACUUCGGUCCCCUCGGUUUGCCAAAUUCUCCACACCCACUUGAGUUUUCUUCGUCUAUUAACUGUUCGUGCCUUCGC
rnacentral:lncRNA from 1 species